AUUUCAUGUGCAUAUGUAUAAUCUAAUUUAUGCUGCAUCUUUUUUCUUUUAAGAAAAUUUUCAGUGACUUGUUUUAAAUUCCUACUUAUUUCCUUAUAGAGUCCAAAAUGCAAACAUCUAUUCUUCCUGAGAUGUUUAGGCAACCAUCACAGGGAGUGGUCCUGUGUAUUGCCAAAGCCCCAGGUGAGACUCUAUUUAGCUCCUAUACAGAUUUAUAACAUUCUUACCACUUAGGGAAU
rnacentral:lncRNA from 1 species